rnacentral:rRNA from 1 species
UUGAACGCUGGCGGCAGGCCUAACACAUGCAAGUCGAACGGUAACAGGAAACAGCUUGCUGUUUCGCUGACGAGUGGCGGACGGGUGAGUAAUGUCUGGGAAACUGCCUGAUGGAGGGGGAUAACUACUGGAAACGGUAGCUAAUACCGCAUAACGUCGCAAGACCAAAGAGGGGGACCUUCGGGCCUCUUGCCAUCGGAUGUGCCCAGAUGGGAUUAGCUUGUUGGUGGGGUAACGGCUCACCAAGGCGACGAUCCCUAGCUGGUCUGAGAGGAUGACCAGCCACACUGGAACUGAGACACGGUCCAGACUCCUACGGGAGGCAGCAGUGGGGAAUAUUGCACAAUGGGCGCAAGCCUGAUGCAGCCAUGCCGCGUGUAUGAAGAAGGCCUUCGGGUUGUAAAGUACUUUCAGCGGGGAGGAAGGGAGUAAAGUUAAUACCUUUGCUCAUUGACGUUACCCGCAGAAGAAGCACCGGCUAACUCCGUGCCAGCAGCCGCGGUAAUACGGAGGGUGCAAGCGUUAAUCGGAAUUACUGGGCGUAAAGCGCACGCAGGCGGUUUGUUAAGUCAGAUGUGAAAUCCCCGGGCUCAACCUGGGAACUGCAUCUGAUACUGGCAAGCUUGAGUCUCGUAGAGGGGGGUAGAAUUCCAGGUGUAGCGGUGAAAUGCGUAGAGAUCUGGAGGAAUACCGGUGGCGAAGGCGGCCCCCUGGACGAAGACUGACGCUCAGGUGCGAAAGCGUGGGGAGCAAACAGGAUUAGAUACCCUGGUAGUCCACGCCGUAAACGAUGUCGACUUGGAGGUUGUGCCCUUGAGGCGUGGCUUCCGGAGCUAACGCGUUAAGUCGACCGCCUGGGGAGUACGGCCGCAAGGUUAAAACUCAAAUGAAUUGACGGGGGCCCGCACAAGCGGUGGAGCAUGUGGUUUAAUUCGAUGCAACGCGAAGAACCUUACCUGGUCUUGACAUCCACGGAAGUUUUCAGAGAUGAGAAUGUGCCUUCGGGAACCGUGAGACAGGUGCUGCAUGGCUGUCGUCAGCUCGUGUUGUGAAAUGUUGGGUUAAGUCCCGCAACGAGCGCAACCCUUAUCCUUUGUUGCCAGCGGUCCGGCCGGGAACUCAAAGGAGACUGCCAGUGAUAAACUGGAGGAAGGUGGGGAUGACGUCAAAUCAUCAUGGCCCUUACGACCAGGGCUACACACGUGCUACAAUGGCGCAUACAAAGAGAAGCGACCUCGCGAGAGCAAGCGGACCUCAUAAAGUGCGUCGUAGUCCGGAUUGGAGUCUGCAACUCGACUCCAUGAAGUCGGAAUCGCUAGUAAUCGUGGAUCAGAAUGCCACGGUGAAUACGUUCCCGGGCCUUGUACACACCGCCCGUCACACCAUGGGAGUGGGUUGCAAAAGAAGUAGGUAGCUUAACCUUCGGGAGGGCGCUUACCACUUUGUGAUUCAUGACUGGGGUG